rnacentral:rRNA from 1 species
GACGAACGCUGGCGGCGUGCUUAACACAUGCAAGUCGAACGGAAAGGCCCUGCGUUUGUGGGGUGCUCGAGUGGCGAACGGGUGAGUAACACGUGAGUAACCUGCCCUUGACUUUGGGAUAACUUCAGGAAACUGGGGCUACUACCGGAUAGGAGCUCCCCCUGCAUGGUGGGGGUUGGAAAUUUUCGGCGGUUGGGGAUGGACUCGCGGCUUAUCAGCUUGUUGGUGGGGUAGUGGCUUACCAAGGCUUUGACGGGUAGCCGGCCUGAGAGGGUGACCGGCGACAUUGGGACUGAGAUACGGCCCAGACUCAUACGGGGGGCAACAGUGGGGAAUAUGGCACAAUGGGCGGAAGCCUGUUGCAGCAGCGCCGCGUGCGGAAUGACGGCCUGCGGGUUGUGAACCGCUUUCGCCUGUGACGAAGCGUGAGUGACGGUAAUGGGUAAAGAAGCACCGGCUAACUACGUG